ACGAGGCCGCGCGCCCAUGGCGGCAGAGCCAGGUGGCCAAGAGGCGGUAGUCCGCAGUCGGCCUACGGGCUCAAAGCACCUGCGACAAUGACGGCGCUUGUUGCGCCGAAUCUGGAGUCUGAUCUAUGCCCGUUCGUCUACAAUAACAUACCCGUAGCCAUUAUAAAUGGCAAUGCACACUAGUAUCACAACAGUGUACGUCCAAUGUGCUCCGUUACCUGUGCCAGCAUAUUCUCCGUUCAUUGGCGAACACGUGAUAACAGAGCUGUGUAUCGGGCUGAUGUCUACUACUCUGCGUGCUCCCAGGAUGUCAAAAUCAAGAUCACGUCUGGUCCGGAAUGUCGUCGCGCCUUGGACGUCUUCAGGAGGAUUUAGAGAACGGGUGUGUCAGGUGACCUUCAAUAAGCUGACGUACUAUGCUGUUUAUUAUCACGCGGAGACCAAUUUUCCGGACCUGUCUUGCGCAUCGUAAACCAUAUCCGUGAACUACCACUGCAACUGCUGUUCAGUGUCGACAAUCCUGGCGUAGGGCAGAUCAUGCAACAACAUGAAGAAUCGGUGCCUGCGCUUCGCAACACCCAGAUUUUAGAUCAAAGCGUACCCGUUCGCGCAGGAAUCCCACUGUACUGUCGCACGUGUCGAACACACGUAACAAGCGACGUGGCCGUCACGUCCAGACCUCUUUCAUGGUUCCUCUGCGGUUCGAUGCUGGCACUCAGCAUAUUGUAUCCAUGCUGCUGCCUGCUGCCCUGCUUGCCGGUAGUCAUGAAUGAAGUUCACAUCUGUCCGGUGUGUCACCAACCGUUGGGCGUCAUCCGAAAUCAAACACCGUAAUGCAAAGUAUUCUCUGCGGUGCAUCAUACGUGUGUCAGCACGGACAUGCCAAUAAACACUCCACAAAAGAAAGGAGGACUAGCUGCCUCUAGCCAGGACUAGCCAAAGGACUAGCCAAAGGACUAGCCACAAAGAAGAGGAGCACGAGGCCUCGCGCCA